AGGGAGAAAAGAAAGGAAUAGAACUUGCAACUGAAAAGAUUAGGAGAGAACGAUAGGUUAACAGUAGGUGACAUUUUUGCAGCUUUCCAGAAUGCUUGAAAUUAUCUCCAUCUUCAAGGUACACACACACACAGAAGAGGAAGAUUCUAGUCAGGCCAUGAAUGGAGAGGAAACAGAGUUAAGGUAGACAAGUAGGGAAGAAAGCAUUUCGGAUGUGGGGAUUGACUGAACAAACUACUGAGGUCAGAAUGAGUUUGACUUGCAUGGAGAUUGCCCAGUACAAGUCUGAUGGAACAGCUUUGUGAGAUGCAGAGGAGGAGGAGAGUUCUUCCUAUGCUGGGGAGACAAACUGAACGCUGCCCACAGGGAAGGCAGAAAGAGCACCAGUGCCACCACCUGGAUACAGGGAGAAUGAGGCACCGCUUGAAAAGGAAGGCACUGUGUGUCCAAGAGGGAACAGGAAGUGGUCCGGAGAAUGGUGUAGAGCCCUCCUGAAGUAAGACAGGAGGGAGACCAGAAUUAAGACUCUCAAAAUACAGGAAAAGCUU